rnacentral:rRNA from 1 species
UCGAUAUAUUUUGAUAACUUUAUCUAGUUAAAUUUGUUAGUUUAGAAAUUAGAGUAGGUAAAUCAUUAUGAGAAUUUAAGUUUAAGUAUAGGGUAUUGAAUAAAUUAGUUAAGCGAAAGAGUGAGUACUGUGAGGGAAAGAUGAAAUAGAUGAAAAGUGAAUUAUUUAAAAGUAGAUUUUUUAUCGUACCUUGUGUAUCAGGGUUUAUCAAAUAAAAAAGAGGAUUCUUAGUUCCCGAUUUGGGGAGGGCUAAAGUAGUAAAUUAGUUAAAGUGGCAAAUUUAUUAAUCAUACUAUUUUAGUAAUGAAACAUUAAUCGAUCCCCAAAGUUUCUGGUUCCUUGAGAAAUGAAUUUAAUUCAGAUAGUUAAAGGAAGAAGGGUUUGUAUAAACCAUCUCUUUACUGAACUAUUAAUAUUAUGAGGGAUAAGCUUCAUUUUAUUUCUAAAAUGUGUUAAUGAAAUGAGAUUAGUAGGCCUGAAAGCAGCCAGCAUUUAAAGAACGUUAUAGUCUAUCUCAGUAAGUUUAAAUUUUCUUGACUGUUUAGUUUAUUCAUCAAGGUGUGAUUCAUAAUCCAAAUGAGUCAGUAAUAAUGAUAGAAUUAUUUUAAAGUAGCUGUGAAUGUUUUAGUUAGGUAAGGUCUCAAUAAGGAACUCGGCAAAUCAGCGCUCGCCUGUUUAUCAAAAACAUCGCCUUUUGUAAGAAAUAGAAGGUCUAGCCUGCCCACUGAAAAAUUGAAGGGCCGCGGUAUUUUGACCGUGCAAAGGUAGCAUAAUCAUUAGUCUUCUAAUUAAAGGCUGGUAUGAAUGGUUGGACGAGGUGUUGACUGUCUCAUUGAGAUUAAAUUAGAAUUUAACUUUUCAGUCAAAAGGCUGAAAUGUAAUUGGAGGACGAGAAGACCCUAUAGAGCUUUAUAUUUGAAAAGUUUAGUCUUUUUAGAUGCAUUUUGACUUAACUAUAAAAAUAUUUCGUUGGGGUGACGGGAAGAUAGAUUAAACUCUUCCUAAAAUUUUACAUUGAUGUAUGAUUAAUUGAUCCAUUAAUAGUGAUUAUAAGACUAAGUUACCUUAGGGAUAACAGCGUAAUCUUUUUCAAGAGUUCUAAUCGACAAAAAGGGUUGCGACCUCGAUGUUGGAUUAAGGGUUAUUUUUGGGUGUAGAAGUUCAAAGUUUGGGUCUGUUCGACCCUUGAAUCCUUACAUGAUCUGAGUUCAGACCGGCGUAAGCCAGGUCGGUUUCUAUCCUCAAUUAAACAGAAUAUUUUAGUACGAAAGGACCAAAUAUUUGAGAUAAUCUUUAAUAAUUGAAUACUAAUACUACUUUGGCAGAUAAGUGCAAUGGAUUUAGAAUCCUUGAAUGUAGAUUUAGUUCU